UCGGUGAUAAUGCUUUCAUGCUUUCUGUGCCCUGGAGGAGCGUGAAGCCGGAGGUUGCUAAGUGGAGUGUAGGUGCUGCUACUUCUGGCACAAACUGCAGUUGUAAUCCAGGAUUCACGGGCCUGUAGGGGCUCAGACUUCAAAUUGAACCGCGCCUCAGCGGCAGUCCCAGGUACAAUAAACGAGGCCCAGCUACCAGACGGCGUCCAGCAGGACCUUGGCGGCGCCCUAGCCGCUAAGCCUCAGACACUGCGCGCCCAGGUUCAUCUUAUUGGUGGACGCCGCGGGCCCGCGAGUUCGGAGCGGCGCGUACAGCUGUGGGUCUUUGGAGCCGGCCUCGCUAGCCUGCCAGCUUCUUUUCGGUGGUGCUCUUUGCUACCGCUAGCUUCCUGACCCCGGCUUGGACAGCAGGCUGCGGAGCGCCCCUGGCGCCAGGUGACCGAGGUGGCUGCGCAGAAGUUUCCACGAUGCCUGCGGAAGUUCUAAGCCUCACAUCUGGGUAUGUGAGACAUGGACCCGGGGAGUUGGCCUCUUUCGUUCAUUCUUCUUUGUACUGUUUAUGUAAGUAAUAAACUGUCUCAGUCUAAAAGU